rnacentral:rRNA from 1 species
UACAGAGGUCCCAAGCGUUGUUCGGAUUCACUGGGCGUAAAGGGUGCGUAGGCGGUCGGGUAAGUCUGAUGUGAAAUCUCAGAGCUCAACUCUGAAACUGCAUUGGAUACUAUUCGGCUUGAGGUCUGGAGGGGGGACUGGAAUUCUUGGUGUAGCAGUGAAAUGCGUAGAUAUCAAGAGGAACACCAGUGGCGAAGGCGGUUCUCUGGGCCUUACCUGACGCUGAGGAGCGAAAGCGUGGGGAGCGAACAGG